AAAACGGUCCUUUUAAGGACCACUCAUAUGCUGUAAAAUCGGGUUG
rfam:Ixodes scapularis strain Wikel colony gcontig_1108378939572, whole genome shotgun sequence.